ACACACACACACACAUAUUACAAACUAAUUCCAUUUUUUCUUUGCUUGAAGAACUAAGAAUUUAUUUUAUUUCUUGCUGAAAUGUAAUUAUAAUUUUUAAUGUCUACAGGUUUGUGAUUUUGGGAUGUCAUGGUUUGUAGGUAUCUUACUGGUGUCAUACUUAUUUCCUUCUAUUACUGCAGUUCAUGUAUUGUUGAUGGAAGCUCUAGGUUUUCUGAUAUGGAGGAAGGUGAUUACUCUGGAAAUAUUUUAUGCUUAUAGUUGUUGGGCUACUGGUGUACUAGGAGUCCAUGAUUAAGAGAUUACCGGACAGCCUAUAAGUUCUAUUAAGUAGAAAUUGACUAAAGAUUACAGAGCAGUCUCCAUGAUUAAAAGUUUAUAAGAAUAUAUAUCCAAGUCUAAUGGGAAACAUACAAAAAAGAAAAGUGCAAGUCCAGAUACAAGUGUUUUCCCUUCAGUCAUCAUUUGUAGUGUAUAUAUAGCCAUGCAAAACAGCUUUAUAUAUUGUAAUGUAAAAUUGGAAUUAGCUAAGUUGUCCUCUGGAACAAGUGUUUUAGAUAGUUGAUAGAGUUUUAUUUAUUUAUUUAUUUAUUUUUAUUAUUCUAAUGGAUAUAUGACAUGAUUAUAUACUUGUUGGUGUAGGAUAUCAAUGGACUUGAAGAUCUCUAAUUAAAGAUUAUGAUAUGGAGGAUAAACUUAACAAAAACUGGAGACAAUCCUCGGACAUUUGGCUGAGAAGAAUUAUGUGCCGGUGGUCAGAAUUAACAUGAGCCGAAUGCCAAUAGCAAUGCAGCUUCAUAUUCAUGAUUAGUUGUACUGUGUUCUAGAUUUGACCCAUUUUGAUGUCAAAAUUUGAUGUACUUCAUCUAUUUUGGCCUAUUUCCAUUUCUAAACUCGAAAUUGUUUUUUUAUUUAGUAACUAUGGUACUCAUCUUGGUUGUGGUUGUCUAGGAAUGAUCAUAGUUGUGGUUGGUAAUAGCGUUAGUACUGUUUUUGGGAUUUGUUGGUGUUGAACUUUUAAUGGUGGAUUAAUAUAU
rnacentral:lncRNA from 1 species